UGGGCGUAAGCGCACGCAGGCGGUCUGUCAAGUCAGAUGUGAAAUCCCCGGGCUUAACCUGGGAACUGCAUUUGAAACUGGCAGGCUAGAGUCUUGUAGAGGGGGGUAGAAUUCCAGGUGUAGCGGUGAAAUGCGUAGAGAUCUGGAGGAAUACCGGUGGCGAAGGCGGCCCCCUGGACAAAGACUGACGCUCAGGUGCGAAAGCGUGGGGAGCAAACAGGAUUAGAUACCCUGGUAGUCCACGCCGUAAACGAUGUCGACUUGGAGGUUGUGCCCUUGAGGCGUGGCUUCCGGAGCUAACGCGUUAAGUCGACCGCCUGGGGAGUACGGCCGCAAGGUUAAAACUCAAAGAAAUUGACGGAA
rnacentral:rRNA from 1 species